GCCAGCAGCUAUAUCAUCCUGCAACUCACAGCUGACACCCCACUGAAGCUCAGCAGGUGUGAGCCUAGCCAGUAUCUGGGUGGGAGACCUCUUGGGAAAAACAAAGGAAGCUGCUGGAA
rnacentral:rRNA from 1 species